ensembl:lncRNA
GAGUUGUAGCGAUGAGACAAGAUAGUAGUUACUAACAAUUGGAUACCACGAAAUUGGGGGUAAAAUUCACAAAAAAUAAAAUAAUUAAAAAAAAGAAAUGAGGUAAAACUGAUUUAAGUUUCCCUGCAUUUAAGUCCAAAUAGGAGCGCCGCCUCUGGAUGAGCGUUUUCCUGUUUGCUUAUGGCGGAAUACAGCUCAUUGAGUGUGGUUUUAGAGCCCGCUUCGGUCUCUGGUGGUAUGUAGACAGCUACGGAAAAUACAGAAACUCUCUAGGUAGAUAGUGUGGUCUACAACUUACCAUGAGAUACUCUACCACAGGCGAGCAAAACCCUGAGACUUCCUUAGAUACCGUGCACCAGCUAUUGUUAACAAAUAUGCAUAGGCCCCCGACCCGUCUCUUACCAGAGGCUGCUGUUCUGUCCUGCCGAUAGUGUAUAACCCGCCAACUGUAUGUUCUUAAUGUCGUUGUUGAGUCACAACUUGGUGAAACAAGAUAUUACCGUUUUUACUGUCCCGUUGGUAGGAUAUACGUGCUUUCAGUUCGUCCCAUUUAUUUUCCAGCGAUUGAACGUUAGCUAGCAGAACGGAUGGCAAGGGCAGAUUAGCUACUCAUUGCCUGAUCCAUCUCUUUCCGCGAAACCUACGUUUCCUUUUAAAGCGAAUCAUGGGGAUCUGGGCCUGGUCGGGUGUCCGUAGUAUAUCCCUCGCGUCCGAGUCAUUGGAGAAGAACUCCUCGUCCAACUUGAAGAACCAUUGAAGUUUGAAAAAUGGGGGUAAAGAAGAAUACCGAAGUUUUGAUACUUGAAAAAUGGUUUGUUAUCCGGGUGGCCCACCAAAUCGAUGACUAGGGGGAUCGGAGUGAUCAAGGCUUAAUCAAGACAUGGACUGACUGCCUGUUCCAUUCCCUCCCCAUGAAGUAGGAAGACAGCUAUGUAAGUCUAGUCUGUGUUGUGUGCUGUAACAAAUGGAAUGUUUCUUCAAAUGUCUGCUGUAAAUGGAAUGUUAAUACUCUGUACUAAAUCAAUUUCUUAGAAAAACAUUAAGUUAUGUUUAAUAACAUUGAAGUAACAUAACUUUUACAUAAAAGUUCAAAUCCAGGCAUGUCAUGUUUGCCCAAAACACAGGGCCUUAAACAUAGCACAUGAUCUUUAACAUCCAUAACAAUCCAGAGCUGGGCUAUUUAUUGGUAACGGGAGUAGGAUUCCCAGUGAUGUGGUAUAAUUUGGAAAACUGAUUUUAACCAAUUGAGAUCAACAGAGAUCUACCACCUUGAUAUUUCUACCUCUUCUUGUAGUGUUAUUAAAAUAUGUAUAUUCCAGUGAAAGUUUACCCUUUUGUUUUUUGCUGCAUGGUGAAAGCUAUAAUUAUAUCACACAUUGUUACAUGCCACUGAACAGACACUUCAAAUUAAGCUAAAUCAGUUUAAAGUUACUAAUCUCUUAAUUUGGUAUAUGAAGCCCUGUUACAAGGGCAUCCUAUUUUAUCACAAUGAUUUAAAGGGAUACUGCGAGAUUCUGUUUUUCUACUUACCCCGCGUCCAAUGAACUUGUGGAUACCAUUUUUAUGUCUCUGUAUGAAGGAAGUUUGGAGCUAGUUUCGCCAGCCAAUGCUAACUAGCGUAAGCGCAAUGACGAAGUCUUCAGGUACGCUAGCGUAUGAUGCGUAAAGGACUCGCCCUUUAAAUCUUUACUUCAAAUAUGGUCAUGCUUCCCCUAGAAGCUAGAAGUUGCCAUUCAUUGUUGAUAACUCCUGAUGCUUAAAGAAGCUUUCUUCCAACUUUCAAAUAUUCCGUGAUUCUUCUCUUGCCUGUGGCCCAAUUAUUCACAACUGCCCAAAUUUAUCCCCCAGUGUUUUUCCCCCUCUUUUUUUAUCAUCAGCUUUAUUUUGAAAUGUAAUAGAUUGAAGCUCCAUUUUUCACUUGGUCAGUGUAUUCUGACAUAAUACACAGGCUACUGCAUUAUGCUAUUCUACCUAUUUCCUAGCUGGGAUAAUAAAGUCACCUACCUACUACUACCAUUAUGAUUCAGUAUUUUCUGCUUUAUUCGGGAGGAAUUUCACUUUUCUUAAAGUCAAAUGAUCACAGUUAGGCCAUGCUGUCUUUUUUUUCUUCAGUAAAAAGGUGAGAUGUGAAAUAAUCCUGUAUUAAUUAGACCCAACCCACCUCUACUAAUGAUUUCUUUGCAUGUCCACUAAAUUAGAACUUCAAACUAAAGGCCCAAUGGAUAUUUCCUUGUACUUUGAAUACGAGAUGGUUUCUCGUAAUAAUUCAGUUUUCUUGGCAAGAUCCUCCAAAAAUCUUCACUUUGUUUUCACUUGUUGGUCAUGAACUGACAUCUUUGGUCGGAACCUGCCUCUAUUUUUUUCUUGGCUUAAUUGAAUGUGUAAAUAGAUUUUAAGAACUAUUUUUAUUAUUCUUGUUCAUAUUAAAAUUAUUUUUCAAAUUUUUCUGAUUUCCUUUCUUCCUUGGUGAAUCUCUGCUGGUCAUGUGUGGAAGUUUGAGGCCGGGUGCAUGCAGAGGAAGCACAUUUAGCAUAUUUUGUGCAGUUUAACUCCAUGCAUGAUUACUAUUGUUUUGUGUUUCGUUACAAAUAAAGGAGCAGUAGUUUAGAUACAACUAAUAGUUCAUCAAUAUCAGUUGGCCAAAAGUGGAUUAUGAGAUUAACUCAUGCCAGUGUGUGCUCAAUUUGAUUCCUGUGAACCCCCUAGUGGGCAGUUGAAGUAGUUUAGCCUAGCUUGACAGUAAAGUAAUAAUAAAUCAAAUUAAUGUCACCAACUUAUUGUCUAUCUAUUCUAAUGAACAUAGUGUAAUCCCAAAAGUAGAUCACAAGCCAUGGGUUGUAUGAACGACUUUGAUUUGUCAGAUAUAAAUAACGACUUUACAUUAUCCAUGCUAAAAUUAUAAAUUAUACUGAUCUGUAAUGAUUAACAGACAUUUUGUAACAUUCCAUUUGCUUAGCUUUCACAUGUAUUUCCUGUUUUGUCUUUGUUGUUUUCAAAUUAUUCUGCUGUAAAAUUUGUUGAAUGCUUGCUAUUAAAUUGCAUAAUGCUGUGUUCAUGUGCUCUCGGAAUCAUCGGAAAUUUGGGACUGGGAUACCCCCGGAAAGCUCCCAGAAUUUACGUAAUUACGAGUUUCCGACAUCCAAAACCAAUCAUAACGAGCGCCCAAAUAUGAAAUAGUCGUUGUACUCCUAAUUUUUCCCCGUUCUGGUAGUUUUGAGUUUCCUACUAAAGGGUGAACGAAGCAUAAUAAUAUUUGACUUUAGAUUUAUCGUUAAAACACUUGUGAGAAUCAUAGAUUUCUAAAGGUUUUCAAUUAUUGCUUUUGUGGAAAUUUGAACAGCUGACUUGCAUUACUUUUAGUAUUCCAUCCCCCCAAAAUAUUAACAAUUGUCUAACGUUCAUAUUUGAAAAUCAUGGGCACAAGGUCAUUUGGGGUGAAUAGGGCUGAAUCUUCAAAUUAUAUUCACAUUUUGUCCCAUCUGUCUGCAUAUUACACAUGUGUAUGGUUAGUAAGCAUUCAGUCCUUAAUGCUCUUUUAUAUAAACAUUCUGGAUUUUGGGGGAUUUAUUUGAAUUGCGAAAUUUGUCACUGCAUACUGCUAUGAUACAGACAUUUUAACUUUGGGUUUCAUUACCAACUCAACUUUCAGCUAGCUAUUGAGCAUUGGAAUCGGAAUCUUUUGUGGUGUUGUUGAAGCUCUUUUCGCAGGCAAAUUCCAAUUGAUGGGAUAGGACAAAAGUGAGGUCUUAAUUAAAUGUAAUUGGGGUUUUCGACUCAUUUUCUUUUUCUUAAUUCCAUUAAAGACCCCAUUCUACUGGACAUUGAAGUGGAGACAGCUGCUUUGUCAUCAAGAUGGCGCCGUUGAUUUGGGAGCUAAUUGGAUUUUUGAAAAGCUGACUGGAUUUUUCAGGAUUUUAUUUUACUGGAUAAGAUGCAUCAAUUGGAAUUACAUCAAACUUUGACAUGGACUCUUGUGCUUUGGAUGUGCUGGCAAUUCUUUGGACUCAAUUGUUUGAAUAUUGUAAUGGUUUCCUUUACUGAGUUCAGUUACACUACCUUUUCUACUUCUGUGAUUUCCUAAUAGGAUGUUAUUUAUGUUAAAUAAAACAUUGCAAUUUUCACUUCUGACUUUCUUUCAUUGAUCAAUAUGCUACCCAAGAAUGUUACAGGACUAUUUGUCUUAUCGCUAAAUGUGAAAAUUCUCUCCAACUGAAUCAAUUUUACUCAAAUGUAAUCCAGUUUCUGGUAUUUUCUUGGGCUUCCGAUUUACUCCUGUUUACUGGAAGGUAUGAUACGUUUGCCUUGUACAAUCUAAAUUUACAUUUAAUAGUGCUAGCUAAAUUAGGCCUACUAACUUUAAAUAAGAUCUGGGGAAUUGGAGGGUAAACGCAAGUAAUACUUUACACAACUUUUUAUUUUGUGAACUUUUACACCUAUUACGCUAAAGUUUUUUUGCUCAACUGUUUACGCUACUCGUCUCCAUUACGAGCAAUACUUAACAAUGUAGCAACUUCUUAAAACUAUUUAUAUCCCGGGUUAAUUUAAUUGACCAGUUUAUUACUUCCUACACUUUUGUAGGACUGUUCUGUAUUCACAAUCCGACUCGUAAUUGGCGCAAACAUUUAUUUUUUAAGUAAGUCAAAUGAAAGGGUAUGGCUUCUAGUGAUCAACGCAUUCCAUGGGGAAUGAAGGGGCUGGCUGAUCCAUACAGUAAUACUCUGCAUUUCUACAUAGCUCUCUCUACAUAAUACACAGUUGAAACAGCUUUUGGCAAAAACUGAAAUGGUGGCCAAGGCUCUGCCUCUAAAAUG